GACGAACGCUGGCGGCGUGCCUAAUACAUGCAAGUCGAACGCAGUGGGGACGGGUGAUUAACACGUGGGUAACCUCCCAUCAGAGGGGAUACCACUUGGAAACAGGUGCUAAACCGAUACUGAUGGAUGGACCCGCGGUGCAUUAGCUAGUUGGUGAGGUAACGGCUCACAAAGGCCACGAUGCAUAGCUGACCGGGUAGGGUGAUCGGCCACACUGGUACUGAGAAACGGCCCAGACUCUGAUGUGAGGCAGCAGUAGGGAAUCGUCGGCAAUGGACGAAAGUCUGACCGAGCACCGCCGCGUGAGUGAAGAAGGUUUCCGGAUCGUAAAACUCUGGUGUUAGAGAAGCGGUAUCUAUCCAGAAAGCCACGGCUAACUACGUGCCAGCAGCCGCGGUAAUAC
rnacentral:rRNA from 1 species